GGCGAGAUAUCCGAGCCAUCUAAGGUGCUGGUUUAAGGCACCAGUCUCUUCGGAGGCGUGGAUUCGAAUCCCACUCUCGUCA
rnacentral:tRNA from 1 species